CCUACGGGAGGCAGCAGUGGGGAAUCUUGCGCAAUGGACGAAAGUCUGACGCAGCCAUGCCGCGUGAAUGAUGAAGGUCUUAGGAUUGUAAAGUUCUUUAGCCUGUGACGAUGAUGACGGUAACAGGAGAAUAAGCCCCGGCUAACUUCGUGCCAGCAGCCGCGGUAAUACGAAGGGGGCUAGCGUUGUUCGGAAUUACUGGGCGUAAAGCGCGCGUAGGCGGUUAUGCAAGCCAGAGGUGAAAUGCCUGAGCUCAACUUAGGAAUUGCCUUUGGAACUGCAUGGCUUUGAGGACGAGAGAGGUGAGUGGAAUUCCCAGUGUAGAGGUGAAAUUCGUAGAUAUUGGGAAGAACACCGGUGGCGAAGGCGGCUCACUGGCUCGUUUCUGACGCUGUAGCGCGAAAGCGUGGGGAUCAAACAGGAUUAGAUACCCUGGUAGUCCACGCUGUAAACGAUGAGUGCUAGGCGUUGGCACGCUUGCGUGUCAGUGCCGCAGCUAACGCGUGAAGCACUCCGCCUGGGGAGUACGGUCGCAAGAUUAAAACUCAAAGGAAUUGACGG
rnacentral:rRNA from 1 species